UACACACCGCCCGUCACACCAUGGGAGUUGGCUUUACCUGAAGCCGGUGCGCUAACCCGCAAGGGAGGCAGCCGACCACGGUAGGGUCAGCGACUGGGUG
rnacentral:rRNA from 1 species